AGCAAAAGCAAGUUGUUUUUGCAACGCUCAGUCGCGCGGAGCGCUGCGGGUGUGCAUACAAACAGCAACAACAACAAAGCAGCAACACUAACAGAAGCAUACGCAUGGAGGAAAUUCUGUAUGCCGUUGCAUGCGUGGCUAAGUGAGUAAAAUGCCAAAAAAAUAAUGAAGUGCAUGUGCUGCAUAUUGAAUGAUAAAACAACAAGUUGCAAUAACAAUUAAGCAAUUAACAAAACAAGUUUCAAUUAAAAAAAAAAAAACAAGAAAGUACAACAUCUGCAGCGCGCAGCAACAGACGCUGCCAAUCAACGAACUCGCGAGUGAACGGCCGCAGCAGCAGCAGCAGCAGAAGCAGAGGAGCCAAAGAAACAGCUGUGCUUACAGUUUGACAAUCAACAUUAGCUCUGUGCUGCUCCCCCGCAUCGUUGUCGGCGUGAACACAUGAGACCACAGCGGCGUUCACUGAGCGCGUGAAAGAGAGCGAAGCAGAAUUAAAAGCGCCGUUAAACGGAGUUUGCCGGG